GAUGAACGCUAGCUACAGGCUUAACACAUGCAAGUCGAGGGGUAACGAGAGGAAAGCUUGCGUUCCUUGUCGACGACCGGCGCACGGGUGAGUAACGCGUAUCCAACCUGCCCCCAACUAGGGAAUAACCUUGCGAAAGUAAGACUAAUACCCUAUAAUUUCCUCAGAUGUCAUCUGACGAGGAAUAAAGAUUUAUCGGUUGUGGAUGGGGAUGCGUCUGAUUAGCUUGUUGGCGGGGUAACGGCCCACCAAGGCAAUGAUCAGUAGGGGUUCUGAGAGGAAGGUCCCCCACAUUGGAACUGAGACACGGUCCAAACUCCUACGGGAGGCAGCAGUGAGGAAUAUUGGUCAAUGGGCGGAAGCCUGAACCAGCCAAGUAGCGUGCAGGAUGACGGCCCUAUGGGUUGUAAACUGCUUUUAUACGGGAAUAAAGUUAGCCACGUGUGGUUAUUUGUAGGUACUGUAUGAAUAAGGACCGGCUAAUUCCGUGCCAGCCGCCGCGGUAA
rnacentral:rRNA from 1 species